UUUAAAGCUCCGAGCGAUGACAGGGCGACGGGCGGCAGGCUAGUGUUUGUCUGGCAGGGGCUGGGGAAGGAUGGGUGGUGUGAUUACCCGUUGCGUCCCCUACCAUACCCUGCCGUACCCUGCCAUAACACGCCACGCAGUCCCUUCCUCGGCUAACCUCACGGCCUUCUAGAUAAUAUCACCUCCCCUUCAUCAUUUUGACACAGUGCAUCGUAGUACAUGAAUGGAGCCACACCUGCAUUAUACCUCUCCUUGUUGGACGCUUGGGGGCAUUUAGACCCUCGGCAAUGGAGACAGAUGGUAACCUAACUACUCACUGAAACACUUCUGCGCCGCAUCUCCAUUACUUUCAAUUGGCUGUAGUUAAAUACCAACACACCUGGCCACCUUCAUUAGACUCCCUACACAGCCAGGGAAGUGUGAUGCUGUGUGUUGUUUGCUAGUGAGAGGAAGCCACGUGCCAGCCUUCCAUUUUCUUUUUGGACGGAAGAAAACGUGAAGUGGAAGUCCCGCUGGGGAUGAAGACAACUGCACUAGGAAAGAGCGUGGCGGCCCUGACGUCACUGCCAACGCCCACUACCACCACCACCACCACCACUACCACCUCUACCACUACCACCACCACCACCACCACGGCCACCUCCUCCUCCUCCUCUCACCUGUUCUGUCCGCCGCCUACCUAAGUGCCACUACCACCACCACCACCGCCACCACCGCCCACUACUGCCACCUGACAUACGGCUAUCUCCCUCCUCCUCCUCCUCCUCCUCCUCCUCCUCCUCCUCCUCGUGUCACAGCUCUCUGUCGCCACUCACGCUCCUCACCACCUCGGAACUUCUUCUUAAAAAUAUUGUCCAUCCUCUACUCCAGAAACAAACUUUUUUAAUCCACCUCCUGUAUCCAACAUUCGCGUCUUGCCUCCCUUUGCAUCAACCAUUCAGCCUCGUAGUGUGAAUGAGAGGUGGUGAAUGAUGUCUCGUAUUCUCGUUCCCCUCAGGCACCAACGAGUAAAGACGCUCCGAAUACGCCAGUAGACAAAGAUAUGUGAUUUUAAGAAGCUCGUCAAGACAGAGUAGGAGAGCAAGAAACACACAAAGGUAAAGGUGUAAUAAUGUCACUUCAAGAUAUGCCCUUUUGAAGAGAGAAUUUUUAUCACACACGGAAGCAAUCAGUUACUUACGUGCUCAGUAUAACAUUAAUCCGAUACACACACACACGCACACACACAAAAAGCACAAAGCCAGUUUUUACUUUUAGUCCAACCGAACACGCUACAAACACGCAAACGAGCGACAAGGCACCUUAUUAUCUUCCCUCCUCACCUGUAAUCGCCACCUCAGAUGGAACCUCAGGUAAACAGAGCUAGUCUUACCUGGCGUGAAGCUAACUUCGGGUAACAGGGAACGGUGAGUCGGGGAAAACAGUGAGGAUACGGUGCAGGGGUGUGGGUGGCAUAGAGGACAGAGGGAAGGCAAGGAGAAUGGUGAAACACAAGUGAAUAAGGGAUGCGAAGAUGAAGGUGGUGGAGGCAGGUAAGAUCUGGAGAGACAAAGGGACGGUGGGAGGUAGAGUGGUAAGGGAAAGGACGGAUCAGGUUAAGAGACAAUAUUCGUGGAAAGCUGAAAGUUGGAAGAUGAGAGGCAACGAGGAGGUCCACGAAGUCGCAGCGCAGCUGCCGGGAAGUGAAAGAAAGGCAAGAUGAAGUAUAAUCUUCAGUGUCAAACAAAAAUGCGUUUCUUUUAAAGAGCGCGUACCAGGAAGGGACGGAGUGUCAUCAAGGGAACUGAGGGACGUACGCAGCAGGAGGGCUCGCACCAAGAAGCUGAUUAAAGAAGAGAAGCUCGAGCACUGACAAAGGAAUUGAAAUAUUGAAGAACGAACAGUAAUAAUAACAGAGAAACUUUUCCAAUAAAUAAAGCCAGGACAUCACCGCGCGACACAGAGCACCGAGCCAAACUUUAAAGAAAGACAAGUGAAGCAUACGAGAGGAGAAAAUCGUUGGCAAGAGUUAUGAUACCGACAUGGACGAAAAGAAAACUUUAUAAAAGAACUUAACAAUGACAAAAAUCGGCAAAACCUCAGACCACUCCAAAGAAUAAAACAAAAGGAACUGACAGAAGUAACUGGACACAGCAAGAUCAGCAUAAAAGUUAAGAAGUCCUAGAAUAUAGACAAUGAAAGGCCAAGUGCACUGGAACGCAUGUAGAUGAAAUUGCUGGAACCUGGACAAAGGCGUAAGAGGCGAGACAAAGACAUAAGAAAUACAGUACAGCUAUUAUAGAAAACGAGAGACGGACCUAGAUACACGGACGGAAUUACUGAGACGUGAACAAAGGUGGCGAACAAGGACAGCGACACAGAGGAAGUUACUGGAAAGCUGGAAUUACGAAGAAGAGACACUGGAACGUAAACUGAAUACAGAUUAAUCGAAAAUAAAGAAAAUAAUGGCUGGAAUCAAAGAAAUAUGUGCAAUAUAGAUGAGAACGAAGAGAAGAAAUGAAAAUAAAAAAAAAUAGUACAUAUAAGUGAAUUAAACAAUGAAUGAAUUAAUAAAAUAAUUACCGAAAUAAAAUAAAAAAUCUAUGGAAUAUAAGCGAAAUAUGAACGAAGGGAAGAUAAAAGAAAAUAAAGACUGGAAUAAAAACAAACCCAAGACGAUGUAAAUAAGGAAAAUGGAUAAUGAAUCAAAGCAACUACGAAUAUCAUAAGAAAGAUAUACAGCAGAAAAAUACUAUGAUAAUACGCACGACGAAAAAGCUGGAUUAUAUUUUCUUCCUUGCACGAAGCAGCGAGACAAAUAGAAGGAAAAGACAAAGAAAAUAAAAGAAAAAGAUAAAAUAGAUGCUUAAAAGGCAAAGUGGGUCAGCACGAGACUGAUGAAAACAAGGAUGUUGGAAUAUUGUUUGGCCGGAGCACAAAAGGAUAGAAUUUAAUGAAGGGUUUUAAAAGGAGGAACCUAAUAGGCGAGCAAAUAAGAUUGGAAUUGAUUAUAUUGCCAUUAAUUAAAACAAGGUUAUAUUUGCCUCCAAGCUUUCCAGACUCGGGUCACCAAAACUCACAAAAAGGUGGAAAAAGUGGAAAAUUUUGUUAGUGAAAUUUGUAGACAAUGAAACGUAGAUCAAAACAACAAAUUAAUUACGCCAUUAAAUAUACACAUGAGAAAUUAGAUAAAAUAAUAAAUGAAUUAAAUGAAA